rnacentral:rRNA from 1 species
UUUAAAUGGCCGCAGUAUACUAACUGUGCAAAGGUAGCAUAAUAAUUAGUUUUUUAAUUGAAGGCUGGUAUGAAUGGUUGGACGAGAUAUUAACUGUUUCAUAAAAAUUUAUAUUAGAAUUUUAUUUUUUAGUUAAAAAGCUAAAAUAUAUUUAAAAGACGAGAAGACCCUAUAAAUCUUUAUAUUAAAUUUAUUAUAAUUUUAUAUAAAUUUUAUUAUAUUAAAUUUAAUAUUUUAUUGGGGUGAUAUUAAAAUUUAAUAAACUUUUAAUUUUUAAACUCAUUUAUUUAUGAAUUGUUGAUCCAUUAUUAAUGAUUAAAAAAUUAAGUUACUUUAGGGAUAACAGCGUAAUUUUUUUGAAGAGUUCUUAUCGAUAAAAAAUAUUGCGACCUCGAUGUUGGAUUAAGAGAUAAUUUUAGGUGUAGCCGCUUAAAUUUUAAGUC